rnacentral:rRNA from 1 species
UACGAAGGGGGCUAGCGUUGCUCGGAAUCACUGGGCGUAAAGCGCACGUAGGCGGACUCUUAAGUCAGGGGUGAAAUCCUGGAGCUCAACUCCAGAACUGCCUUUGAUACUGGGAGUCUUGAGUUCGGGAGAGGUGAGUGGAACUGCGAGUGUAGAGGUGAAAUUCGUAGAUAUCGGGGGGAACACCCGUGGCGAAGGCGGCCAGCUGGGCCGUUCCUGACGCUGAGGCGCGAAGGCGUGGGGAGCGAACGGG